rnacentral:rRNA from 1 species
GCUACCCGCUGAGUUAA